CCUCUUGUUAACGUAUACUAUAGGUAUACAAGUGAGCUGAUUUGAUAUAAAACCAAUCUAUACACUGAAAGAAAUACAAAUAGGUUUUUUUUUUUUAUCUAUUCGAUUAUUUAGUAUAAUAUGAAUACAGAGAUUGUUUAAACAUGCAACGGAAAUAAGAAGCGGAUUUUUGUUUUCCUAUACGAAAGGAGGUUCGUGUUGAAAUAAUUAAUUUAUAACUUUAACAUUUGAAACGUGUAGUACUUAUUACUUGGUUCAUGUGAAAUAUAAAUUGUUGAUAAGUGGGAUACUGUUUGACAUUUCAUUGUUACUUCGGAUACACAUCAUCUGGUAAAACAUUGCAUAUAAAAGAUUGUACCACAUGUUUCAUGCUAUUUGUGUUGCAUGUUUUAAAAGAAUAACGGAUAUUACUCUGCUAAGACAAAUGCAACUGCGAUAAUUCUGGGACAGAAGCAAGAAGGCGAUUACAAGACUUCUGGAAUUAAACACCACAGCCUCAAUAUACGGUAUGCCAUAGACAGCAAACAGUGGAAGGAUAAUGCCUCGCUAAGAUUCGAUGAUAAACGUGCAUUUCUUACAAGAAAUAUGUAGUGUGAAAGAUAAAACGAAGCCUAUUAUCAGAAAUCGAUAUUUUGACAAAUUUUAAUAUACUGAUAGACAAAUCUUCAACAAUGGCAUUCGACAAAACACAAAUUAAAAAGACAAAAUCUUCAGUCACAGUUAUUCAUGUGGCGGGAAUGGAGAAAGAGCAGACGGACAUAUCCAAUGGAUCGUCUGCAGACAGUGAAACUAAAUUUCCACUGGAUUCCAAAACGUCCUUGAAACAGAAGGACUCUGCAUUGACAGUUUUCUUGAAAUUACUGAUAUCUAGUAUUUGUGGAAUAAUAUUUGGAUUUGCAAUGGAAAAAGCAAGAGUCUUCGAACCAAUAUCAAUAAGAAAACAGAUGGUGUUUGAGAUGUUCAUUAUGCUGAAGACAUUCUUAGCGGCAGUGGCAGCAGGACAGUUGUGUUUUGUGAUAUUGUCUAUAAUUCCCCCAGUCAAGGAGAAGUUUGUACAUGCUUUAGAGGAAUAUACUAGUUGUUUUUCACAAAAGACUCUCUUUACAUCAGCACUUGGAGCUUUCAUUUUAGGAAUCGGCAUGGCAUUGUGCGGAGCUUGCCCUGCCAUGGUUUUAAUACAGAUAGGUACAUGGGUACCGAAUGCAAUAUUUACACUAAUAGGUUGCUUACUUGGAGCCUUGACCUACGGAAUGAUCGCCCCUUUUGUAGAAAGAUUAACGAGACCCAAGAACCCAACGGAAAAACACAGUGUUCCAGCGACAUUUAAGAUACCAUUUUUUGCACUGGCAUUACCAAUGAGUAUUUUAAUAGGAAUAGUAGGUUUUAUAAUGGAAUGGUUCUGGCCCUGGACCAAAGAUACAGACUUAAUUCAUAGAAGUAAUCCAGCCACGGCUAAUGUUUUUACAGCAGUGUCAUGGCCGCCAUAUGCUUCUGGUAUAAUCCUAGGAGUUAUACAGUUACCGUUAGUUUUAUUUGUACAAGACACAUUAGGUGGAAGCAGUGCCUUCGUCACAGUGAUGUCACAAUGGGUUGUAACAGACAAAUUACAGAAAAUCUUUCCUUAUCUUGCCAGUAAAAGAUUAGGCGUUGGUAAUUGGUGGCAGGUAUUUUUAGUGUGUGGAGCAGUAAUUGGAGGGUUAAUAUCAGCGUCGGCGUCAUCAUCAUUAACAAUCGCUUAUGGUGCACCAGCACAUGUAGCAUUUUUCGGUGGAUUUUUUCUCAUAUUUGGAGCACGAUUUGCUUCAGGAUGUACAAGUGGUCAUGGGAUAUCAGGCAUGGCGUUGUUAGUGUGGAUGUCAUUUGUAGCUGUUCCUUUUAUGUUUGGAGGGGGGAUAGCAACAUCUUUUGCCAUGCAAGCAACCGGUGCAUUAGACACGUAUGUGAUGUCUACCGGUGCUGUAUGAAAACAAUGAUCUCUAAAACGAAGAUAAUUUCCGGUAACGUUAAUUUCCGGUGCUUAUUACUAUGCAACAUAUCAGCAAAUGUGUAGUUCAAGUGAAAUAGAGGAAAACAUUUAAGGAUAAAAUUAUCGUUGAACCAUGACCAAGUUGUUUGAAUGUGCAAUGCAAUUAGUAUAACAAUGACGUAGAUUAUUUGCCUGCAUUCAGAUAACUAAGUGGAGAAAUUAAUUCAGAACAAUUACAUCACAGUAAAUGAUACAACAAUUUUUCCAUUUGGAACAUUCCUCGACUAAAGCAGUUGAACAAAACCCUGUUUUAAAGUUUAUUUAACGCAGGUAAUUGCCAUUCGAGACAGUCAACCAUUUAUUCAGUAAGAUAAUUGUAUCAAAUUACAGAAAUGUACAAAUCAAAUGUGCCAAAUGUUACUUAUUUUGUGAUUAUAUGCAUAUUUAUACAUAAUUAUUAUAUCAUUUUGAUUUAUAUAUACAUGUAUAUAUAUAUAUUUUGCCUUAAUCAAAAGUUGUAUGAUUAUCGGAAACCUCAUUAGAGUUUUCAUUAACCAGGUUUAUUUGUUAUUGGCUAUUCAAACUACAUGACUAACACUGAGAUAAAUAUGAAGACGUUCCUAUGUAACUUUUCUGCUCUGUAUUCUACCGAACUGAAUAUUUUAAGGAAUGUCUACGUAUCUAAGUAUGCCCCGUCGGUGUAAGGCAUGCAACUGUUUCAAUGGCUAGUAAAUUAUUCUGCAUAGCAAUAACAACUACAUAUCACGGCGGAACGUAUAUAUUGAUUUAUAAGCUCUAUGACUGGCUGUCCUAUUCUCUUUUGUUUGCGUCUAUACAUGGGGCAUUAUUUCGAUACGCUGUGAUUAUCAUCCCAUCUCAUCAAUAUUUUCAUUUCGUGUUUUCCCUUCAUUUUAUUUAACCUUGCCAAUUUAUGUAAUUUUUAUUCAUUGAGUUGCUGUAAAUUUCUAUAAAAAUUGGUUAGACAAAAAAUUCUUUAAGAAUCAAAUAGAAAAACCGAAAUAAGAAUCAAAGAAACAAACAAAAAUUUUUCAAAAUCAAAUUCAUAAAGACUGAAAAAAAUAUAUAACAAAGGCCACCUUGCAAAUUGUAUCCCAAAUUAUAUUUUCUUUUUUUAGAUGGACUAAGCAAAAUAAAGGAUAUACAUGUAUAUUGAUAUCAUUUGUGUGGUUAAAGGGAAGUAAUCGGUGCUGGUUUAUAAAUACAAACGUUUUUUUUAUAUUUGACGUAAUUUCCAGUCUUAUAACAUAUGUGUACAUUUGUAUUGCCUUUAAGAACAAUUCUAAUUUUUCAAUUACGGAGCAAACAGCUGAUUGCGGACGAGAAAGAAAGUUGCAAAAGAUCUCAACAUUUUGAGACAUUUAAAAGACUUGGAUCAUUUUACUGGUCUGAUAUUUUGAUUCAUUUUGAUUUAUUUUGUCAUUUUGUUCUUAAACAUUCUAUCAUUUAUGCGCUUUUUCUCAUCAAAUGGUUGCUCCUUUAUUCAAUGUGCCAUACACGCUUCAUAGCCUUUUUACCUCAGUUGCCAAUCAUUAAUUUAUUAUAUGUUGUAGUAACCAUUUGUCAACAAUUAAGCAUCGUGCAUAUUCUUGUAUUCUAACAAUUUCUAAACCCACCUGUUUUAACAAUUAACAAAUGGUGACAAAGGGGAAUCGGAAACAUUCGAUCAAAUUACCGAAUGGAUAACGAAUUUCACCGAUGUGUUAUGGUUGUGUUAUGGUCACACGGGUCAGACGGCAAGCUUAUUUACAGCUUAACAGUUUUUGGUACGGGUUUUCGCACUAGUUAAUAUAAUAUAAAUCGUUAUAGUCAAAAGGCAGUUUUUUAUUAUUCGUCAUUUUUGUUCUAUUUUAAGAAACUUUUAUUUAAAAGUAGGUCUAAUGAUUUAAGUUUCGGCAAAUUUUUAUUUUAUUUAUAAAAAAAGAUACUAGUAGGGGUUAUUAUUCAAUUUUGUUUUUUUUACAGAUGUAAACGUAUGAAAAAGUAUCAAAGACUUUGAAACAGAAAACAAACCAAAAAUAGAUAAAAAAAUGAGUAAGGAGCAAUAUGAAAUUACAAAUGUUAGAAAUUAUAAUCGGUUUAACAACUUUUAAAAGUGAAACCGGUUGUGAAAUAUAAAAAAACAAACAAACAAUACAGAUAUGACAAAACUAUGAUGAUGACAACGUUUUAAAGCUGUACUUUUGGCUAUUUCUUUAAAGAUUGUUUAAGUACUUUACCACUUUCACUUUUUUUUUAUUUUAACGGUACUUUGAAUAAUUGUCAAUGUUAUGGUUCAAGUUCCAAAUUCACAAUAACUGCACAUCUAACUGACAGAUUCUGUCUUGUACAAACUGAAAUCACCACAAAUAACUAAAAAUUUACCGCACUUAUCAACGACUAGGAACCAUAGAGUUACAUAUCAAUUUGACGGUCAUUUCAAACUACGUGUAGCAUUAUCAUACUCAUGAGAUCCUUAUUACAUUGUGUUACAUUAAUGUGUGAUUUCUACUUGCCAAUGGUAUAAGGUUUUGCAAUGUAUACAUAAUUUAGUCAUACCAAAUUCAGUGUGUUUUGUCAUUCAAAAUGAAAACAAAUUGAACCAUGUACAAGGAAAGAUAAGUCUCUGCCUACAAGCAGUAUAAAUUUAUCAUUGAAAAAAAUACAUCAUUUUUAUGAAAUAUAUUGUUUUCUGUUAUUAUGUUUUGUUUUUUGACGUUUACCUUUUUGGAAGCAAGAUAAUGAUUCAGGUAAUAAAAAAAAAUUGAAACACGUGACUAAAACAAAACACCUGUCAAUAAGCAAAGAACAAUAUAACUCGUGCAAAAGUACUUUGUCUGUCUUUGUAUUGCUGGGAGAUCUUUGACCUGAUUAUGAACUAUCAAUGGUGUUUUUAUACUGUUUGUAGACUGAUGCACAUAACCAUUAUACGAUAGAUUUUAUAUGAUUAGUUUGACUGGAUUAUGUCUAUGAAGGAGAUUUUCUGUGUUACCAUUGUUACAAUACGACAUUGUUAUUCAUGUUGACUUUGUUAUUAUUGUUGAUUUUCAUAUUAAAUUUCAAUAUAAAGAU